UACCUGAUCUUGAUUAUUGAACUUUUUUGAAGAUGAUGAAACCGAUUUAUUAACAGGAUAUACAACCUAAAAACAAUCACAAAUUACAAGAUAAAUGUUUAUAUAGGUUUUUUUCAUCAUUUUGGAAGUGGGUCACAGGAUAAAAACAAAUAUUUUCAACAUUCAAUUUGUCAUAACCACCUUGGAUGAUGGAUCACAGUCAUUCACAAAUAGGAACAAAUAUUUAAGAC